GGGUCAGUAAACGCACCACAGUGCGGGACGUUUUUUCGCUCGAACAAUAUAUAGAUCUCUUAGCCUUAUUGCGCCUCAUACAUCAUAUCACCAGGUUGAUGCUGUGCGUGAAUGCAUAAAGCUGCCAGUCGGAUUAUUCCAUGUUAGAGGACACAUGGCAGUAACACACAGAACGAUCCCGAUGCCUCCAGGAUGAACUGAUAAUAACCCUGUGUCAAUCACAGACACUGUGAAGAAACAUGAACUUCUAUAAAAUGGAAAAACCUGUUGUGAAAAGCUGAUGGAUCCUACACUUUGAAUGGAGUACUCUGGGAAUAUGGACAGCUUUAACGACACAGAAGGAGUACAUUCAUUCCAGUAUUUAGUCCAGAAUGUGGAGCCACUCUAUAAGGAGUACAAGCCCCCUUCAAGGGACCUCAUCCAGCUACCGAAGUCAGUUAUUUACCUCCUCAUGGCUGCUGUGGUCGUGGUCGCUGUGGCUUAUGCUAUUGUGGGUCACCUCAUCAAAGACCUCAUGCUGGACAUUACAGACUGUUUACUGGGUCCGAUCGACGAGAAUGUGAAAAAAGAUGCCGAAGUGGAAGGCGUCAGCCCUCUCCAAAUCCCACCUUCCCUCAGCCACUCGCACCCCAAUGCCUUCCACGUGUGGGACCAGGACGACGUCAUUAUCCCCAUGACGCCCUCCGCUGAGACUCCACUGACCAGUCCUCUGAUGGCAGUCAUGCCGUACCUACCCAAUUUUUUGCCCAGCAGCCUCAGCGGCGGAAGCCCGUCUUUCGCUCAGCCUAUGUCUCAGCCUAAGGAGAGUGAUGCAUGAGGGAAUUGGUCUAUUUUUCAUUUUACCUCAUCUGUGCUGGAUCCAAGUUGUGACUGACAAUGCCCGUGGAACAUCUCCACCCUUUAUCCUAUUUACUGAUAAGGGGUGGUAACUGGUAAUCUGGUAUCAAAUAUCAAUUUUACUACAUAUUUGUAAAUUAUUUGAGUGACGGUCAAUGUUUUAUGUGGAAAAAGUGAGGAAAAAAAAAAGCUGCGGAACAAAUUUGUGUAGCUGAAUCACUUAAAAUGUAUUUAAAGUGACACUCCCAGGUCUACAUCCUCAAGUGUGCCGUAGAUUUCUGCAACCUGCUUUGAUCACUUGGGCUCAAACACUUAAAAUACAACACAAUGGUCCUCCUGCCUUAAUAGAUUCACAUCUAUUCAUCUUCUAUGUCGCUGAAUCCUUACCAGAAUCGCGGGGUAUGCUGGAGCUAAUGGCAGCUGACUUUGGGUGCAACAUAAAUAACGUCUUUCAAACACAUAACAUGGUUAAAGUGUGAUUCAAAUGUUCUGCUAAAACAAUAUGUACAUAUACUGUACAUGAGAAAAUGAGUAUUUUCAACAGUGCAGGCCAAAAGUUGGGACACACCUUCUCAUUCAAUGUGUUUCGAUGUACAUUGUAGAUUCCCCAAACUAUGAAUGAACACGUGGAAUUAUGCACUUAACUAAAAAAUUGUGAAAUAAAUCUAAAUAACUUUAAUUUAGAUUCCUCAAAGUAGCUGCCAUUUGCUUUUAUGAUAGCACUGCAAAUCCUUGGUGUUCUCUUUACUUAUUAAUGGGGUUUGGGACCUCAGUUGUGUGUAUCCAAACCUUUGGCCUGUACUGUAUACUACUAUCCUAUACUACUACCAGUCUACUGGACAUCUCUGUGUGGGGUCUGCAGGUUCAUGCGUGGGUUUUCUCUGGGUACUUGAGCUUCCUCCCACAAUGAGGUAUGAAUGUGAGUGUGAAUGGUUGUUUGUCUUUAUGUGCCCUGUGAUUGGUUAUUGACCAGUCCAGGGUUUACCCCGCCACUGGCCCAAAGUCAGCUGGGAUAGGCUCCAGCAUACCCUGUGACCCUGAUCAAUUUAUAUAUUUAAAUACAUAUAUAUAUAUCCUUAACUUUUUGGAAUGAAUCGUCUUCAAGGUCGCUCAUUGCAUGUCUGUAUUAAGUGAGGGAUGGAGAUUAGGGAGAGAAGAUUAGAAAAGCAGCUUAGCCUUUAAUACGCCACAAUUUUAUUACUUUUGAGUUGUGGAAUUAAAACAUUGCGGCCAAUUCAGAGAUGAUGCACGUUCCAUACGUCCAGGGUCGGUAAUAGUACACACGGGUGAUCAAUAAAGCUGCUUUUGUUAUUUAUUAGGGAUGAAUUUGGAAAGGAAUUUAGAAUGUAAGAGCAGCACAUACUGCAAAUGAAACUAAACGACUCUAUUGUGAAUUACUGUAUUUGAUACGACAAAGUAUUGGGGACCCAUUGAAAAACAAAUACAAAUGUGACAUUUCAAGGAAAAAGUCGUAAAUUUACAAGAAUAAAGCCAUAAAUUUGCAAGAAAAAAAAUGACAUCACAUGAGUACCCCCUUUUCAAUUUGUCAGUAUUGGCCCUGAGUGACAAUGUUUGGACACACUUGCUUUAAUAGAUGCAUAGUCCUGGACCUGGUCCAAAUGGGAAGUACCUGGAGAUACUGGUACCGAUACACAAAUAUGGACAGAUAUAAGACUAGAACAUAUUCAAGGAUUCAAACAUAUAAAGUGUGUGCUCAGCAGUUUGAGCCGAGGCUUGUAUAGUGGCUUUGCGUCAGUGGGGAUUACCUGAUCCUGACCUGUCCUUUAUCCACACUUGACAGCUUAACCUUUGAUUUCUCAAUAGCCCUGACUCACCUCACUUCUCUCAGACCAAGCAUGGCACCAGGCGGGCCUGGGGCUCAUUCUGCCCUGCGGUGAAGACAUGAAGAACAUGUAACGAACACGAACAUCGCUACAGAUUAAAUAAUCCUUUUAAAUGAACGUGUAGACUAGAAUACCUGCACAAGUUCCAAAUGUGUGUGUCAGCCUAGCGUGAGGCUCUUGUUAGCUGGGAGACUAAAUUUAUCCUGGUUGAAUCUCUGCCAAUCUGCCCAAUCCUCCUUUGGCCUCAACGCCAGGUGUCCAUCUUGGAUGAAGAUCUUACUCAGCAUGCGUGUUGGGAGUAACAGCGAUAAAGUACAAGGAACCUUGAUUAGCAGGCAUUUAUUCGUCAUAAAAACGUCAGACUCCAACCAAAUCAAUUUGUCUCAUCUAAAGUAAUAUAUAUCUAAUUCAUCUGUUCUAGAAAGACAAAAAUGUGAACACAAAACACGUUUUAUAGUUUUUCCGCAAAGAUAAGUAAGCACAAAUUCCUCCACAGCGCUGUUUGAGACUCAUUGCAAGUUAUCGCAAAUGCUUGAUUGCAGUUGUUGCUGCUAAGGGUGGCCUAACCAUCCAUCUCUUAAUUUUCUAUGCCGCUUAUGCUCACUCGGGUUGCAGAAAUGCAACUGAUCCAAUAGCAGGGCACAUAUAGACAAACAACCAUUCAUACUAAUUGCAAGUUAUGCAAAUGCUUGAUUGCAGUUGUUACUGCCAAGCAUGGCCAACCAAUUAUUAGUUUAGGGGGGUUUCACAAAAGGACAUGUAAGUUUGGAGUUUUAAUAAAAACUUCCAUUUAAAAACCACAUUUUGUGUUCAAUUGUGUAGUCAUGGACUAAUAUUUAUAUUUGAUAAUCUGAAACAUUUAAUUGUGACAAACAUGCAAAAAUAAAAGAUGGAAGGAGGCAAACAUUUUUCCACACAAUUGUAAAGUUGGUGUGUUGAUUUUGCUGCCAUGUCAUGUCUUUAAUAAUAAUAAUAAUAAUAAUAAAAAGAAUACGGAAGUGAAUCCGGAAAUGACAGUCCUAUUCAAUUUGUGUCCCUGGUUGCUAUUAUUAUUAUAUAUACAGGAAACAUGUGGUUGCUCACUUUCACACUUUAAAGAAAACACUGUCCCCUAGCGUUUUGUUAGAGAAUUGCACGUUACACGUGACAACUUGGGUAAUGGGUCAAAUGUUUUAGUCGAUAUUCCUCCCUUUUUAAAAAAAUUAAAAUAAAGGUUUCUCCGCACAUCUUAAAAUAAAAAAUGAAGCUCCGCCAACUACUUGUCAGACAGCAACAGACAUGGAAAGAUGUCGGACAUCUGGAUCCAGGAAGUUUCCAGCGCCGCUAACUACGUAGCCCACUCCUGACUCCUCGAUGUACUGCAAGCUGGGACGCCAUCAUACCUGUGCACUCUGCGUGGUGUCUUCACGCUGCUGUAAGUUGCAUCGUCAUGCUCAAGCGAAAGAUCAAGGCUCACCAUGCAAGAGGAUUCCAGAGGCAAUGCACUCGAGAACCCUGCGGAACGCCUCGCCUGGGCCCAGUGGCCUCUCUGAUGUACUGAUGGCCUUUUCUGCCAGUAGUUCAAGAGGCUGUGAGGUAAUAAUGCAGAAGACCACAAUGUAAAUACACGACUCUUAACAUUGCACAUAACUUCCAGGGCCUGGAUCGUUAUAUUAUUCAUUCAUUCAUUUUCUACCGCUUUUCCUCACAAGGGUUGCGGGGGGUUGCUGGAGCCUAUCCCAGCUGUUUUCGGGCGAGAGGCGGGGUACACUCCGGACUGGUCGCCAGCCAAUCACAGGGCACAUAUAGACAAACAACCAUUCACACUCACAUUCAUACCUAUGGACAGAAUAUAUGUUCAAUGGCUAUAAAAAACAUGGAACAUACGAAAGGAAAGUGUAGAAUCCUGUCUUUCAUCAGGAAAAAAAAAGGUUUGUGUCUACCUUUUUCCAUUCUUUAGUAAUCAACACUUGAACAUUUGUGAGUUUCAGGAAAAUAUCAGUUCCUGACUACAAAAAGUGACGAAAACAGCUUAAUUUGAAAAGAUAUAUUUGAAUCUCGACCAGUCUAGGCUCCAGCAUGCCCGCGACCCUCGUGAGGAUAAGGGGACCAGAAAAAGGGUGGAUGGACAUUUCAAUCAUAACUUUCACUUUGAUACAAAUAUUUUUUUUAUCUAAACAACUAUCAACAAUCAUUCAUUCAUUCAUUCACUACCUCUUACCACUUUCCUUACGAGGGUCGCAGGGGGUGCUGGAGCCUACCCCAGCUGUCUUCGGGCGAGAGGCGGGGUACACUCUGGACUGGUCGCCAGCCAAUCACAGGGCACAUAUAGACAAACAACC